rnacentral:lncRNA from 1 species
CAAAGUGCUGGGAUUACAGUCUGGAGCCACCGCGCCCGGCCCUGAGAUGUCUCCAAGUGGUGGUGAGACAUCAUCAAAUCCUAAGAAACAAUAUACUUGAAGAUUUUUCACUCACUGCAUCAAAGCUACAGCUCUGAAAAGCUUUGCAAAGAUCUAACAUCAUCAAAGGGAAGAGAGUACAAUCUAAAGCUGAAAUUAUGAGCUCCCUCAAGCUGGUGGAUCACACACACUGCUCAAUAGAUACUGUUGUGGCUUCUUCCAUUUAAAAUAAUUCUGUGGCGCCUUUGUAAUUGUUCUGUGGUGCUCUGGAAGACCUUUGUGCACAAUGUGGGAAUCUCACUCUUAACACAUCCACAGUUAAUAAGUCUUUGGCAAAGACUUAUUAACUUUGCCAAACUAGCAGAUGUAAAAUGUUCUAACAAGAUUUAGUUUGCAUUUCCCAAAUUAUUAAAUAGAUUGAACAUCUUUUCAAGUGUUUAUCAGUUAACCUGAUUCCCUAUUCAGUGAAUAUCUGUUAAUUUCAUUUGCACAUUUUAAUAAGUUUGUCUUUUAUUGUGGUAAGUGUUCUUUAUAUAUUCUAAAAACUUAUUAUCCCUGUACAUUAUAUAUGAUCAGAUAUAUACUAUCAGUGUAUUUCUUACCUUUAACUUAGUUUAUUUGUUUUGUUUUUUUACUAAUACUAUUUAAGCGAAAUUCAGAUUCAAGUAGAAUUCAGAACUUGAAAACUCAAUAGAUUUCUUUAUUUCAUACUACUGAUUUUAUGAAGAGUAAAUUGAGAGUGAAGAUAUAUGUAUCUAAGUUUAGCCUGUUGGUUAGUGACACAAAGAAAAUUAGAAAUUGGGUCUUUUAAUUUCUGUGCUAGUGAUUGGGAAUCAUACCAACAUAUUCUCCACUGAGCUCUGGUUAAAGUUGUAUUCUUAGGGGAACAAAAAAAAGAUAAGACUCACACCCUGCUAAUUCACUGGGUCUUUUUUUUUUUUUUUUUUAGAUGGAGUCUUGCUCUGUCACCCAAGCUAGAGUGCACUUGGUCUUGAAUUAUACAUAUACUGAUUUUAUUUUUUUAACAAAGGUUGCACUUAGGUGAAAAGUACCUUUUGAGAGUCCUCCUUUCUUCCUCUGUCUUUUCUCUCUGCUAGGUUUCAUUUGAUAGCCUUGAAUGUGAAUAAAGAAUAAAUACGGCUUUCCCGUA